GCUGCUCUAUAACCACACACUUCUACGCGGUGAGCAGCAGGCAACGAUCUAAUGAUCGGCUGAGAUGUGA
rnacentral:ribozyme from 1 species